rnacentral:lncRNA from 1 species
UUGGAUCUCUUACUACCAAUGCUGCAACUUCAGAUGCGGAUGGAAGGUUGUGUGUUCCAUUCCUUUUGCCUAGUAUCCGAAGUGUGUAAUCAUGGUAGUCUCCUUCUUGGAAUCUAUCUCUUGCCAUUCUGAAGGUUUUUGCGAGGAUGUUGUUGUCGUCGAGCAUUAUUUUCAGUUCUUUGACGAUGUUGGGGUCCACUGUUGAUUUUUUAUCAUUGCAUCUUGACGCACUUAUCCUGUUUUCCACCUCAUUUUUGGUAUUACAGAUGUAUAGCUGUGCAAACCGAGGUUUGUCUGUACCUUGAGGCAAAAGAGUUCCGAUAUGGUGGUAGUUUUGUCCAUGCAAACGAAAAACAUAAGGUCCUUUGCGAGUGUUUAUUUCCUUGUCCACAGCUCCUCCCAUCGAUGUGAAUGAAAACAUUGAGUUGUAUGACCUUAUAUUUUCUUUGAAGUUUACCGAAUCCUGCCCUUCACUUCUUAAGAGGUUUCUAAGGUAUGGUGGAGGUUCUCUUAGUGGCGGCAGAUCGAUUUUCCCUUGUUUGCAGCAUAUUCCAAAAGAGGGUGCCGUAGUUCCUUUGUUUGAAUUUAAUCUUUCUUCACACCAUAGCAAUGCUUUGCAAUAUUGGCAUUUGUAUGUUGGCCUUCCGAAGUUCCAUGGCUUGCUAUUAGAACUUGUCGAGGUUCUGGUUCUGUUGUUGUCUCCAACAUUGACUCUAGUGUUGUUUUUGUUGGUUUCGCUUUUGGCGCGCUUCAAUUCCCUAUCUUCUUCAGCAUUAGCCUUUCUCAAUCAUUUAGGAGCCUCUUGUCCAGACCCCGACUCGAUGACACAUCGAUCUAGCCUAUAACACCUCAUAUCACUUUGCGGCCUCACGCACGGUAUCCCCACGGGUGUCGCCUUACCUUUGCCCGGGACCGUUUGCGCCUUUUGGCUCACGUAUAUGAUAGUGUUGCUAGCAUCCAUAUGUUAAGGAGCCCGGGCUGACAUGACUAGUUGUAAACCCAAAGUGGCACAGACUUACAGGGACAUGCAUCCAUGACCCAGCUUCGAACGUGUUGGUCAUCAGCAAGAGGGUCCGGGCUGUAGCACUGGGCUAGCAGGACUCCGGUAAACCGGGCUGUAGCGGGCUAACAGGACUCCGGUACUCAAUGCGUGACAUUUCCCCGAAGGGACAGACACCGGAACGAAGGACACAUGCCGGCCAGCCUAAGUGUUCCAGAGCAGUAGCAAGCUGCCAUGGCUCAGUGGUAACACUAGGAGACAUUUCCUGGUAAGAGAGGCUACUAAAGAUAAACAACUAGAUAGUCAGAUCCCACACAUACCAAGCAUUUCAAUAACAUACACAUAGUAUGCUCGAUAUGUGCAAAUACAACAUGGCAUCACAACAUGACUCUACGACACAAGUACUUUAUUUAAGGCUCAGGGAACCAUACAUAAUCAUACACACAGGUACGGGUCACACGACCCAGCAUUCAAGUCAUACAGUCAUACAAACCAGCAGCGGAAGUAACUUGUCUGAGUACAGACAACUAGUAAAAUAAAAGAGGCUUGGAAAGCCUAGCUAUACUACGUGGUCCUUCACAAGCUCAGGAUCACCACCUGGGCCUUAGCCUACUCAUUGAUGUCAACGUCUAUGUAGAACCCAUCAGAAGGGGUUGCAGCGUCUUCUGUAAAAAAUGUAAAUUAUAGCAACAUGAGUACAAAGGUACUCAGCAAGACUUACAUCAGAUCCUACAUACAUGCAUAUUAUCAAGAAGGGUUGGUGGAGUUGUUGCAGCAAGCCAGCUUUGACUCUUGGCUAGGCUAACCUACGAGACUCCAACUUGAAAUGGUUUUGCGUACACGAGUCCACUACUCACCAAUUCAAUACACUACCGAGGAUCCACCUCCAUCUUCCUACGGAAGAGCCAUCCUCGGCACUCACACUUAUCUUGAGGCUUUUAGUAGUUUCCGUUUACUUGUCUAUGAACUGUAUAGGCAACCAAGUAGUCCUUUACCGCGGACGCGGCUAUUCGAAUAGAUCAUGAUAACCCUGCAGGGGUGUACUUCUUCAUACAUGUUUCCACCACUUAGCGUCUGCACACAACAUGUGCUCGGCAGACUUCAAGCGAAAGCCGACGUGGGUGUAGACCACGACCUACCUAAACACCUAAGCCUCUAGUCCAGGUUUAUCGCCUAUCCAGGUUCCAUCGGCAGGGAGUCCGGCCGAGGUUUCCCAUACGGCCCCGAACGAUGUGAACAGGGUUCCCGAGAUACCUAACAGGUAUUUGGUACACCCGGCCACGUACCUACCGCAUCACAGCCCACCCCUACGGUCAGCGCUGUCCACGGCCUCCAGUAGGCUACAAACACCAGAAACUACUUGCAACUCCUGGACAGAGAUCUAGGGUGAAUAAGAAGUCGAGCGGGGUCAUAUUUCAGGGCCCAAUGCAUGGUAGUAGCUGUAUCUUAAAUCACACAUACAGAUCUCAGUGCUUAAGGUCGGCUUCAAUGAAACAACCCACCAUGUACUCCUACAUGGCCUCUCAUCGAUACCUUUACCAAAUCGUGUUCACCACACCACUCUCAUUACCGACAUAAUCAUUUCACUCUAGCCCAUCACCCAGAUGAACCAGACCUGACAUGACUCUAAGCAUAGCAGGCAUAGCAAGGUAGGAACAACACAUACAUAUGGCUCACUCAACUCCUACACAUGCUAGUGGGUUUCAUCUAGUUACUGUGGCAAUGACAGGUCAUGCAGAGGAAAUGGGUUCAACUACCGUAGCACACAACAGUUUGAAACGCGUUGUCUUAAUGCAGUAAAAGAGAGCAGGAGGGAGAACAUGGGAUUGUAUCGAUAUGAUCAAAUGGUUGGUUGCUUGCCUGAUGGUUCGAUGCACUGAUACGGUUCUUCGUUAGGGUAAUCACGGUACUCCUCGGAGGCAGAACCUGCCGCAAAGAACACCGAUACACAACCAUCACCAAACAAUGUGCAACAAUAUGAUGCAUGCAUGAAACAUAGCAAUAUGAGUGUGUUGGGCUAAUGCAACUAAGACCAGAAGGGUUUGAACCAAUUUGAAUCAAAGAUUCAAAUUUCAAACUCAAACAUGGCCCUUUAAAGUGUUUUUCCUUGUUCUGCAUUAAACAUCAGGUUAACUUGUUUAAUCAUGCAUGAAAAUAGUACAGAUGGAUAGAUUGGAUUUUUUCUGAUCAUUUUUCAUAUAUAAUUUGUCUGAUUUGGAGUUACAGAAUAAAAGUUAUGAAUUUUUAAAGUUUAAACUAUAUUCUAGAAUUUCCUAUAUUAGAUUAAUUCCAGAAAAUCAAUUAUUGCGUCAGCCUGACGUCAGUGUGACGUUAGCAGGUCAACGGGACACGUCCGGGUCAAACCUGACAGUGGGUCCCGCGUGUCAGUGUGAUUAGAUUAAUUAAAGUUUAAUUAAAACUAAACCUGUUUAAUUAACAGGGCUGGGCCCCACCUGUCAUAGACUCAGGGGAGUCAACCAGGGCCCACCCGUGGUCAAACCCGGGUCGGCUGCAUCGGCGUUUAGCCGCCGGCGAGCCCGACGCGGCGGCGGAAGUGGUUUUGGCUGUUUCGGCCACCAAAUGGGUCGCGGAGACCACCGGAGUGGAGCUGAGGACGAGCCGCAACUCUUGGUGGAGUCCGUUGGGGUCGGGGUGGCCGGAGUUGGCGCCGGCGACGACUUUGGCAGCCACCGGGGUUCGGCCAAAGACGAACUUGACGCUAGAGGGGUCGGUGAGGCGCGGGGAGUAGCUAGCUAGGUGCUACGUGACGCGGUGAGCAUGAUGGACACCGUGGAGUGGUCGGAGGGUGACCGGGAGCACGUCGGCGACGAGCUCCACGGUGGUGGGUGCGGUUGAGCUCCGGGAGGUCGCUACACAGCUCGGGAGCAAGAAAAGGAGGGGGGAAGAUGGCUAAGCUCACAGUGAGUGCGACGAAGCCCUUGCUGCGGCCGGGGAUGGACCGGAGCGACGACGGCAUCGAAGGGGAUCUCCGGCGACGGCGGUUUGGGCGAGGUCGUUGCGGUGGACUCGGGCGUUGCGAGCGCUCGGGGCUCGGCUUGCUCGAUGAAGUGGACAGCGGCGGAGCUCCUGGACACGAUGAGAGGACGCACGGGCGGCGGGGAGCACGGCUACGAUGUAGGCACGGCGGUGGUGGCGUCGGUCAUGGCGGGGGAGCGCGAGGGGGAGGAGCUGGAGAGGAGAGGGGGUGUCUGGGGGGUUCGGGGGAGAGAGGGAGGCUGAUCCACGACGUCACCGGGCGAGGGGAGCGGCGAGGCGGCGAGCAGGUGCGUGGCGCGCGCUGCGGUCGCCGUCGGGCACCUGCCUGCCUGCCUGGCCGGCAAGCAGCUCGCUGGAGCGGCGCUGGGCUGGGCCGGUAGGUGGGCCGGGAGCUGGCGUCGGGUAAGUUUUUCCAUUUUUUCUGUUUUUUGUAUUUUUUAAUACUUCUACAACUUUGUUGAAUUAAAUAAAAUACUUAGGCAACUCCUAAAAUCACCAAACUACUCCUGGUCCAUAGUUGGAUUAUUUCCAACAUGAAACAUUUUAGUUUGGAGAUAUUUGAGCAUUUAAAUAUUUUAUAUAAUUUUAAAUGCCCAAAUUCAAAUAUUUAUGAUUUAAUUCAAAAACCCUAAGAUGGCCUAGGAAAAUGUGCAUCACUUUUGGCAGAGGUUCUGAACCAAGACAAAAAUGAUGGGCAUUUUAGAAGGGCAUUUCAGGUUCAUUGAAAAAGUUUUUAGUAAACCCUAAUUGGUUUCAGAGGGGACUGGGGUUCUGUCAUCCCCAUUUCAGGUUUCUGAUGAAAGAAUAAACAUGAUGCAACACUCUAAUGCAUGAACUAGCUAGGGUGUGACAUGUGUACGCAUUUCUUCUUCCCUCUGCAGUCCUUGUCCGUUUUGUACUCCUUGAGUUUAGAGGUUGUUCUUUCUUUCUUUUUGUCUGGUGAGCUGCUGGGUCUAACGUAUGUUGGACUCUCAUAUCUGCAAAUGUGAUUUUGUUAGUGCGUAUAGUUUCCUUAACAUAGUAUCAUGUAAUAUGAUUUAUUUUGUAAUCCCUCCGUAAAGAAAUAUAAGAGCGUUUAGAUUACUAAAGUAGUGAUCUAAACACUCUUAUAUCUCUAUAGAGAGAGUACUUAAUAGUGUUUUGCUUUUGCAGGCAUGCAAGUGCAUUUGGUGAUGACUACUAAUGGACGUUGUCACAUACAGUACAUCUGGAGAUUAAUGUUGUUUAUCUGGUAGGGAACUAAAAAUCAAUAAUUGUUCAACCAUGUUGCUCUUUUUGUAGCUUUCACAUUAUUAUCAUGGUAGUGUUAGGAUGCAUGAAAAAAGAGCUUUAUAGUUCAGUAUGAGAAGAGUUUUGACGCAAUGUUGAGCUGAGAUCAAAAUGCAGGCACACACAUGAAGAAUUGCAUCGGGAUAUUACCUGAGGCCGAUGGUGCUGAUGUUGUGUCUUCAGUUCAUUGGACGUUUCUUUGUGCCUGUGAUCGUUUGGGUGUCGUCGGCGUAUAUUGGAUGCAAGUUGCUGGAGUUGUUGCCAUACCUUCAAUUUGUCAGCCGUCUCGUGUGUUUGAUCUUCCCGACAUCAUGAAAAAGUAGCUAUUGAGAAAGUACAUCAUGGGUCAUUUAUGAAUGUAUGUCUUGUAAAAUUAUGGUUGAAUGAUGUUUAUGUGAUAUAAGCAGAGGGAUGAGUGUAUGUGACCAUACCUCUUGUUUGUUUUCUGAGACUAUGAUCUAGCAAUUUGACUAAUGUAGAUCACCUGAGGAGAAAGUUUUUGUGAGAAUAUGUUGGCUGAUAAGGAAGCUAAAAUAAUGCACGGAUUAAAGAGAGAAAAUAUAUAAUACCCUGGAACCUUUGCCUGCUUAGUCGUCGAGUUGCUUCGAAUUUGAGAAGACGGAUCAGUCGGCGAUGAGGCUUGUUGUGCUAGUAGGACGUGAUAUGAUGCACUUUAUAUAAUGAUAUGGUUAGAUGUUUUCCAAGACAUGUAGGAUUAGGAAUCAUGUAGUGAGUCAAAAUGUAGUGAGUCAAAAUCGGAC